rnacentral:rRNA from 1 species
UUGAUCCUGGCUCAGGACGGACGCUGGCGGCGCGCCUAACACAUGCAAGUCGAACGGGGUCCUUUUAGGAGGCUUGCUUCUUGGUUGGACCUUUUGGCGGACGGGUGAGUAACACGUGAGCAACCUACCCUGGAGUGGGGGAUAACAUCUGGAAACGGAAGCUAAUACCGCAUAAUAUCUAAAGUCGGCAUCGGCUUUUGAUCAAAGGAUUUAUUCGCUUUAGGAUGGGCUCGCGUCCGAUUAGAUAUUGGUGAGGUAAAGGCUCACCUAGUCUGCGAUCGGUAGCCGGACUGAGAGGUUGAUCGGCCACAUUGGGACUGAGACACGGCCCAGACUCCUACGGGAGGCAGGCAGUGGGGAUCAUUGCCAUGGGAACCCUGAUGCAGCGACGCGCGUGAGUGAAGACUGCUUCGGUUGUAAAGCUCUGUGAGGGGGACGAUAUGACGGUACCCUUACAAAGCGGCUACUACGGCCAGCAGCGCGUAAUACGUAGUGGGAGCGUUGUCGAAUUACUGGUGUAAGGGAGUGUAGGCGGGGUUUAGUUGGUUGUAUGUGAAGACGCUAAUGAGCGGUCAUCCAUUAACUGGUUCAUGUUGAUGAAGAGAGGAAGGGAAUUCCUGUGUAGCGUGAAAUGGUAGAUAUAGGAGGAAACCGUGGGAGGCUGCUUUUGUGACUUCUGAGUGAGCUACGAGCGUCGGCAGCAACAGUGAUAAUACGUCUGUCACCCGAACGAGAUUAUAGCGUGGUGUGGGGUUGCCACCUUCGUGCCGCAGUUAACACAUAAGAUCCCACUGGGGAGUACGGCGCAAGUGAAAUCAAAGGAUUACCGGGGCCCGCACAACAGUGGAUUAUGUGGUUUAUUGAGCAACGCGACAACCUUGCCAGCUUGACAUCCAUGCAUCACUAGAUAUGGACCUUGGCACUCAGACAGCAUGGUGCAUCGUGUCGUCGUCACAUGUGUCGUAUGAUGUGUGGUUAAGUCUCGCACAACGGCAACACUCUCUAGUGCUUAGUUAGUACGCACAGAUGCACGGCUAAUGGGACUGCCGUUGACAAAACGGAGGAAGGUGGGGAUGACGUCAAAUCAUCAUGCCCUUUAUGACUUGGGCUACACACGUAAUACAAUGGCGCUUAACAGAGGGAAGCAAUACCCAAAGGUGGAGCGAAACCCUAAAAAGCAUCUCAGUUCGAAUCGCAGGCUGCAACUCGCCUGCGUGAAGUCGGAAUUGCUAGUAAUCGCGGAUCAGCAUGCCGCGGUGAAUACGUUCCCGGGCCUUGUACACACCGCCCGUCACACCAUGGAAGCCGGUAACACCCGAAGUCAGUAGCCUAACCGUAAGGAGGCAGCUGCCGAAGGCGGGAUUAGUGACUGGGGUGAAGUCGUAACAAGGUAA